AGGGCACCACCAGGAGUGGAGCCUGCGGCUUAAUUUGACUCAACACGGGGAAACUCACCCGGCCCGGACACCGUAAGGAUUGACAGAUUGAUAGCUUUUUCAUGAUUCGGGGGAUGGUGGUGCAUGGCCGUUCUUAGUUCGUGGAGCGAUUUGUCUGGUUUAUUCCGAUAACGAACGAGACUCUGGCCUACUAACUAGACGUCAGAUCCUUUAUGGGUCUUGUCGUACCUUCUUAGAGGGACGGGGGGCGUUUGCCCACACGAGAAUGAGCAAUAGCAGGUCUGGGAUGCCCAUAGAUGUUCCGGGCUGCACGCUCGCUACGCUGAAUAAAUCAGCGUGUGCUCCCUAUUCAAAAGGAUUGGGAAACCCGAUGAACCUUCUUCGUGAGGGGGAUUGGGGAUUGCAAUUAUUCCCCAUGAACGAGGAAUUCCCAUGUAGUGCGCGAGUCAUAAGCUUGCGUCUAUUACGUCCCUGCCCUUUGCACACACCGGCCGUCGCUACUACCGAUCGAGUGAUUUA
rnacentral:rRNA from 1 species